GCGGAUUGCCAGUGCUGUGGACAGUACGAGGCGUUUGCUGAUGUGUGUGUUGCUGAGGUGUGUGUUGCUGAGGUGUGUGUUGCUGACGUGUGUGUUGCUGGCAUGUGUGUUGCUGAGGUGUGUGUUGCUGAUGUGUGUGCUGCUGAUGUGUGUGUUGCUGAUGUGUGUGUUGCGGAUGUGUGUGUUGCUGAUGUGUGUGUUGCUGAUGUGUGUGUUGCUGACGUGUGUGUUGCUGACGUGUGUGUUGCUGACGUGUGUUCUGCUGAUGUGUGUGUUGCGGAUGUGUGUGUUGCUAAUGUGUGUGUUGCUGAUGUGUGUGUUGCGGAUGUGUGUGUUGCUGAUGUGUGUGUUGCUGAGGUGUGUGUUGCUGAGGUGUGUGCUGCU
ensembl:lncRNA